rnacentral:lncRNA from 1 species
CUCAAAUGUAGCAUUGACACUAUCAAUCAGCUUGAAUUUUAAUUGACAGAAGCUAUUUGGUUGCCUUGUGAACAAUAUGAUAAACCCCCAAUUAAAUUUACAAGUCCAAGUCACAAGACGUCAAACGGCCAAGCAAGCACAGGGUGGGGAAGCCAACAACCUGCCAGCAGGGCUUAAUGGGAAUCUCUAGAAGGAUGCUGAGUCAUUAAAUUUUUUAGGGUCUGUCAGUUUGUUAGAGUUGGUUCGGAAAGGGGUAUAAAUAAACAUGUAAGGGGAGGCGAAGGGAUACGGAAGAAAUCAAGAAAUAGGGGAAUGGAGAGUCAAUUUCCAUUAAGUUCUCUUUUACACUAUUUGUUUCCUUUGAAUCUAUUCUACAGAAAAUUUCUACAUAAUUCAUCUUAUUCUCAGUGGUGGUAUUUUUUUUUUAUUAUUAUUUUUAUUUUUUUUGUUUUUUAACAAAAUUUGGGCUGAAUUUCGGAUUUUACCCUACCAAAGAGGUAUCAGAGCAAUUGAUCCAACCUCUACAAUCACAACCCUUCCAGAUCGUGUUGAGUCAUUAGAACAGCAGGUAGCAGCUAACCAGCACUUAAGGCCGGCAUCGGCAGCAUGAGGCAUGAAUUUCAUCAAUUGCAAAAUGAACUAAUGGGCAAACUUGAACUGCUAAUGAGGACGAAGGAGACCCAUGAACGUGAUAGGAAAGAAAAAGGUGUAGCCAUCGAAAACUCUUCGGGCUUGUCACCAGUGAUGGAUGGUGCGCAAGCAAGUACAAAGGGGAGUCAAAGCAAUGGAAGUGGGGUAGAUAGUGGCUGGAGAUUUGAAUUGCACAUCAGACGGUUGGAUAUGCCUGUGUUCAACGGGGAUGACCAGGAUGGAUGGGUUUUUUGGGUCGAUUGCUAUUUCUAGAAUGACAGAUGAAGAAAAGAGGGAUGCAGCUGCCGUUUGCCUGGAUGGGGAUGCCUUAGCCUUGUUUCCAUAGGAGGAGCGUCGGCGGAAUAUGAAAAUUUGGGAGAAGUUGAAGGUCAAAUUGUUGCAUCAGUUCCGAUCGACACAAGAGGGUUCACUAUGUGCGCAAUUUCUGACCCUCCAUCAAACGACCACCGUUAAAGAGUAUCGUCAACAAUUUGAGAAGCUUGCAUCGUCGCUGUAAAACAUCUCCAAGGAUGUAUUGGAGUGCAAUUUCAUAAAUGGUCUCAGCCCUCGUAUUAAAGCUGAGGUCCAAUUGUUGAAAUCAGUAUGCCUGGAACAAAUAAUGGACCUGACCCAACGAGUGGAAGAGAGAGAUGCUAUCAUAACCCUCAGCCCAAGUGCAUCCAACCCAAACGGGUUGAAAGGAGCCUAGAGGAGUCUUAGCCCACAAAAUUCCCAAGCCUCUACAAACUUCCUGAGACAAACUGUGCUCGUCAAUCCUACUCGUCGAAACCCAUCAACACCUUCAAGCGAUUGAUAGACGUUGAACUCCAGGCGGAGAGGGAGAAAGGGCUAUGUAUAGGUAUGACGAAAGGUUCACCAUUGGACAUCGCUGUAGGAAUAAGGAGCUUCAAGUGAUGGUAAUUAGGGAGAAUGAAGAAGAGGAUCCCGUAGGUGGGACGAACCAGGUUUAGGGGGCAUUGAGUGUGGCCAUGUCAACGAGCAAACAGGUGGCACCAGCGGCGAAGUGAUGAGAUUGGGAGCACCUAUCGAACUAUCCAUCAAUUCGAUGGUUGUCUCACCACUCUAGAAACAAUAAAAAUUAGAGGGAGCAUUGGCAACAGAGGUGUGAUUGUACUAAUUGAUUGUGGGGCCUCACAUAAUUUUCUUUGAAGAGGCGGUUCAGCAAUUAGGACUAUCGCUAUCCAACACCACCGGAUAUGGAGUUAUAAUGGGCAUGGGGCUAACGAUUAAAGAAGAAGCAAUCCAUAAGGGAGUGAAGCUACAACUUCAGAAUGUGAUGAUAGAAGAUGACUUUUUGCUAUUGGAAUUAAGCAGUCAGACAUCAUUCUCGGGAUGCAAUGGUUGCGCGAGUUAGGAGAAAUGCAAGUCAAUUGGCAAACUCUGACAAUGACCUUUACCGUAGCUGGAGCACGGUAACAUUGAAGAGGGAUCCCAGUCUGAGUAGAACUUCGGUGUCUAUGACAUCGAUGUUAAAAGCGCUUAAAGCCCAUGGUGAAAGGGUGUUGCUGGAGUUGGGAAACAUUACGGUACAAGCCAAUCCAAUUUACUCGGAAACCCCAGAACUGAUCACUAAGGUACUGGAAGAAUUUCAUCAAGUCUUUGAGAUGCCUAACUGUCUUCCUCCCCUGAGAAAACACGAUCAUGCUAUUAAUCUACAGCCCAGGACAUCCCUAGUAAGUGUGAGACCUUACCGAUAUCUUCAUUUUCAGAAGAGUGAGAUUGAGAGACUAGUUCAGGAAAUGUUAGCAGCAAGUUUAAUUCAGUAGAGUGUUAGUCCGUUCUCGAGCCCAAUUUUGUUAGUUAAGAAGAAGGAUGGGAGCUGCAGGUUCUAUGUGAACUAUCGGGCUUUGAACAAAGUGACAAUUCCUGAUAAGUAUCCAAUGCCAGUACUUGACGAAUUGCUUAAUGAGCUUGGGGGUGCUACCAUAUUCUCCAAGAUAGAUGGUAUCACCAAAUUAGGGUGAAGCCAGAAGAUGUACCGAAGACGACGUUUAGAACCCAUGAGGGACAUUAUGAAUUUCUCAUCAUGCAUUUUGGGCUGACAGACACUCCGACAACCUUUCAAUCGCUCAUGAAUGAGAUUUUUAGGGGUUACUUACGGAAGUUCGUGUUGGUGUUUUUUGAUGACAUUCUUGUUUACAGUCGCACAACUGAGAAGCAUAGAGAUCAUUUGAGAACAGUGAUGUAGGUGUUGGCCGACAACCAUCGAUAUGCUAAUGAGAAGAAGUGUCGGUUCGAUCAACGGGAAUUGGAGUAUUUGGGGCAUGUUAUUUCAGCUUCUGGGAUAGCGGUGGAUAAAUCUAAAGUGAUAGCUAUGAGGGAUUGGCCGAGGCAGACAACGAUCAAGAAAUUAAGGGGAUUUUUAGGACUCAUGGGAUAUUAUCGUCGGUUUGUGAAAUCAUGUGGGAGCAUAGCUUGGCCCUUGACGCAACAGUUAAUAAAAAGACAGCUUUGCAUGGAUGGAAGAGGCAAAGGAAGUGUUCAUAAAAUUGAAAAAUGCCAUGAUAACUAUGCCAAUUCUAGGAUUGCCCAACUUCACACAGCCGUUAUGGUAGAAAUUGAUGCCUCCGGGUAUGCAGUACAGGUAGUUCUCAUGCAAAACAGGAGACCCAUUGCGUACUUCAGUCAGACACUCCCUCCACGGGCUCAGCAUAAGUCAAUAUAUGAAAGGGAACUCAUGGCCAUCAUAUUAGCAAUACUGAAAUGGAUGCAUUAUUUGUUAGGCAGAUUUGUGGUGUAACCUGACCAACGAAGCCUUAAAUUCUUGCUGGAACAAAGGGAGGUGAACCAGGAAUACCAAAAAUGGCUGGCUAAACUUUUGGGGUUCGAUUUUGACAUCGAGUAUAAGGCUGGUUUGGAAAAUAAAGCAACAGAUGCACUUUCUAGGGUGGACGCUACAGCAACAUUAUUGGUCCUAAUUAUGUCUCAUACCCUGAAAUUAACAGCGAUCGGGAAGGCAGUAGAAGACAAUACUGAUCUGGGACGGGUGCUAAAGUCCCUACAAAAUAGUCAAACACAUUUUCCUGGUUAUUCCUUGUUACGGGACAACUUGAUGUAUAAGGGCAGACUUGUGCUACCAAGAGACUCAUCGUUUGUACAAAUAGCCUUACAAGAAAGACAUGACAGCAAGGGAGGAGAGCAUGGAGGUUUUCUGAAGAUUUAUUGAAAAGUGGCAAAGAACUUCUAUUGGAAAGGCAUGAGAAGGGACAUCAAGGCAUAUGUAGCCGCGUGUGAAAUUUGUUAGCAACACAAGUAUUCCGCCCUGGCACCGACGAGACUGCUCCAAUCGCUACCUGUUCCUGACAAAGUAUGGGAGGAUAUUUCGAUGGAUUUUGUGGAAGGGCUGCCAAAAUCAGAAGGGUUUGAUUCAAUUUUCGUUGUAGUAGAUUGUUUAAACAAAUACACACAUUUCAUUGGCUUAAACACCCAUUUUCAGCCCCAUCAAUUGCUGCAAUUUUUGCUAAAGAAGUGUUUAAACUACAUGGAAUAUCUCGUUCGAUAGUUUCGGAUCGAGAUAAGGUGUUUGUGAGCCAAUUUUGGAGUGAGCUUUUCAGAUUGCAUGAGACAUCACUAAAGCAUAGCUUGGCCUAUCAUCCACAAACCGAUGGGCAAACGGAAGUGGUAAAUAGGAUAGUAGAGACAUAUCUACAGUGUUUUACUUCAAUGAAACCAAAACAGUGGUAUCAGUUUCUUUUUUGGGCCAAAUACUCUUACAACACUUCUUAUCAUGUAUCAGCACAACUCACCCCUUUUCGCAUUCCAUACGAAUGCGACCCACCCUCGUUAAUUCGCUAAGAGGUGGGUACCACAGCCAUCUCAUCCUUGGAACAACAAAUGCCAGAACGAGAUAGAGUUUUGGAUGAAUUAAAGAUACACCUCCAUAAAGCCCAGCAACAAAUGAAGUUGGCGACUGACAAACAUAGAAGAGAUGUGGAAUAUGUGGUCGAAGACUGGGUUUAUGUGAAAAUGAGACCGUAAAUCACUAGUGGUACGUCACAAGGGAAAGUUAGCCCCGAUUUACUACUGACCGUUUGAGGUGUUAGCCAAGGUAAGAAAGAUGGCCUAUCGCCUCUCACUACCAGUUGCUGCUUGUGUCCAUCCUGUUUUCCAUUUUUCGCAACUAAGAAAGAUGGAGGGAAACGCUCCAGUAACAUCUUUCCUACCCCCCAACUCGAUCAAGAUUGGGAGUUACUUGUGGAACCAGAAUUUGUCUUGGAUUCAGACAGCCAAAACAAGGUACAACGGAAGCUAUGGAGGUCCUGAUUCAGUGGAAGGGUCUGUUGCCUAUGGAAGCAACGUGGGAACCAUUUGACUUAAUAAACAAGUAAUUUCCUUCUUUGAACCUUGCGGACAAGGUGACUGCAUUGGGAGGAGGGGUAUUUGAUAAGCCCCCAAUUAAAUUUACAUAUACAAGACAUCAAAAGGCCAAGCAAGCACAAGGUGGGGAAGCCAACAACCUGCCAGUAGGGCUCAAUGGGAAUCUCUAGAAGGAUGCUGAGUCAUUAAAUUUGUUUGGGUCUGUUAGUCUGUUAGAGUUGGUUGGGAAAGGGAUAAAAAUAAACAUUUAAGGGGAGGGAGGGGAGGGGAUAUGAAAGAAAUCAAGUAAGAAAUAGGGGAAUGGAGAUUCAUAAUUUCCAUUAAGUUCUCUUUUACAGUAUUUGUUUCCUUUUGAAUCUA